CUAAGGCUGUCAGUUAUUGUCGUUGUCCAGUGGUCAUUUGACCAUCACUAAUGGUGACUCAACCAGAAGUUGUCUGUUUUGUUUUGCAGUAUGAAUGUCAUGUUAUCGCCCAGAAAGUAUUCUAACCCCAAGGGUUUAACUCACUUCUCUCGCAUCUUUAGUUAGAACUUCCAGUUUUCAGGAAAUACAGAGGACAGAGGAUCAAGAAAAGGGCAUCCUAAGGAACUGGCUGGUUUCCCUAGGCUCCAGAGAUCGUCUGACCCCGGCCUCCAGAAUAUGUGGUACUACAAGCUAUGUCACUGUGCCCAGCUUAUAAAGGACAUGAUUGGCUCAGGUGGAGAAAUUUGAGACCUCACUGUUCACUGCCAUCUGGAGUUGAGGAACCCAUGACCUCCAGGUGAUUCUGGUGCACGCAAAGUUUGGAGAGUCCCACACUAGAGCGAUGCUUAAUAAACCUGCGCUGUUUCCAAUGGUAACCAGAUAGAGGAAAAGUGAGAUUGAAAUCCAGGUCCAUUGAUCCCAAAGUCCAUCUUUGGCUACAAAUCAACAAAUCACACCUGGCCUCUCCUGAAGGGAAAACAUAUUGAGGAACAAAUUAAACAACACUGUGGAAGGGGCAACAAGCACACUCCAGACAGGAAAACUGCAGCACAACCAACCUGGUUUAUUCAGCAGAAAAAUGCCAGGAAAACAAAACAAACCAAAAAUAGGGUGGCGAAACAUGUAAAAAAAUACUUGCAGUAUGUAAACAUAAUACAAGCUAUGGCUCUUUAAUUAAAAAAAAAUUAAUUGUAAAAGCAUAAACAAAUUGAUAAAUUGUAAAAAAUUAAUUGUAAAAUUAAUUGUAAAGUUAAAAAAUUACUUGUAAAAUUAAUUGUAAAUUUAAUUUUAAAAAAUUAACUGGAAGUUUGAAAACUG
rnacentral:lncRNA from 1 species